UUAGUGAUAGCUGGUUUUCCGACGAACCUAUGGACGUAGGGGUUAUUUUUUAGGUAGUGUGGUAAAGAAAACUUAUGGGGAUUUUAUCAAAAAACCUAUUUGAACCUUAUAAUACAUUAUUUUAAAUAAUAAUACUCAGACUAAUGGCGCAAAGGUCUUUAGUCAAGAGGGAAACAGCCCUGAUUAUAUGCUAAGGUGUGUAAUUACUGCUAAUUAAAAGAAUUGAUUAUAAACAUCCUAAUCCUAGGUGGGCUUGGAAGCAGCCAUCCUUUAAAGAAAGUGUAACAACUCAUGAUUAGGGGAGAUUUUAGUGAAUAAUAAAUUAUUUUUAAUUGGUUCUACGAUGUUAACAAUAAGCAGUAAACCGAAGCAAUAAAUAUAGAUGAUGCAUCUAUAUGGUAGCGG
rnacentral:rRNA from 1 species